AUUUUUAGUGCAUUUUAAAAGAUUUUCAGCUUUUUUGUUUUGAUUUGUCAACUAAUUUCCAUAAAUUUCCGAUCAAAAUAAUAAUUGAAUUUCGGAGAAUGAACUGGCGAGUUAAGUAAUUCGGCAUGAGUUUGGGUAAGAGACGAACAGUUAAAUUCACGAUGUCUUAGAAAAACUGUAGUAGGGAGCGUAUAAAAACCACGUAAUUCGACCAAGAGUGUGGGGGCUAAAACAAGUUAUAAAUACAUAUGCUGAAUAUCGUCAUGGUCAUUGGAAAUGACGAGACAGUAGCAUUGGUAUGCCGUUCAAAGCCAUCGUCAGACGACAAAGUUGCGGUAUUUUCCACAUGUUGUCAACGCCGUUUUAUAUCGUCUCUUUUCGUAAGUCAUUUUACUUACGGUCUUUAGGGGUCUUCAAAAACGCGUUAUCCAAUACAUUUUGAAACAGGAGUGGGCAGUUAUUGCCAUAAAAAUUAAUACGGUGGGACCACAUGUGCGGGAUGAUGGAAAGAUAACAUAAGUGAAGAAAAAAUGAUGAACAACAAGAAAGAGUCGAGAGCAACCGAAGGAGGGGCUUACAAGCAGACGGUAUUGACUCAUCUUGAAGAAUCUGAUGUGAAUUGAGAAAACGCGUAACUUUGGCGCACGAGAAAUUCAUUUGUGAAAUUGUGUUUUUUUUAAAUUUAUUGUUAUAUUUUUGAUGAUUCGUAUAUACAUUUAAGCUGAGAAGUUUGCUUAUAUAAAAAAAAAUCCGUAUUUAAAUAAAAAAACCCCCCAUUAUUUUUGGACAGUUUUGGCAAAAGCCGCUCUCCUGUAUAAUUACCAAAAAGGAAUACGAGUUCGUUUUAAGUUCAAGCGAUGAAGAGUAAAAAAAUUUAUAUGUUCAUGGUAGACUGUGACGAACGUUGUCCAAUUCACGCUACGCGAAGAGCCGGCAAUUAACACAUCAUCUACUCGAGAAGAUUCCUUUUUUGACACUUCAGGAACUCUGUCUGAAUUUGGUGGCGUAUAGUUGUUGCUAAAGUCGCGCUGUGGCUCAUUGUUAUCAUCAUUCGCACUAAAUAUAGUACCAGAUGGAUUUUGAAAGCUCUUCAUAUCCCAUCAAAUUUGCCUAAUCAAAAA